GUGAGUUGGGGCUUCCCUCCUUUCCUUGCUGUGUUUGCUGGGCUUGCACCUCUGAGAGCUGUUCUGGAGUUUUUCCUUAGUUGCUGACAAGAUCUCACCCAAGGCCAUACAGGCUUCAUCAGGAGUGACGGGAAAGGAAGUGCUGAGCCAGGGCUUGUUCCUCUGCCUUUCCACAAGUGGGAUGUAUUCAAGCUUCCACAAUGCGUGAAGCAGUGGAUCUGGCGAGGAUCUCAGGAGCACCCACAGCGAUCCACAACCAUGGCUGGAGCGAUAAUCCAAUCCCAGCCGAAAGCCUCGAAAUCCACCGUCAGCGGGUAGCGGCAACACCGGGAUUCUGUCGAGUGCUCAUCGCAGUCGAGACCGAAAUCUCUGCGGGACCGUUUUGGUGUGUCUGUAACUCUGACCUCUAAAAAUGGGUUCUGUGAGAAGAGGAGAAGCAAUUGGAAUCGUUUCUGAGGUUUCCCUCUCAAGCUGUUUCCCUGCAAGCUGUGGAGCUGCUGGAAGGGCCCUUUCCAAAGAUAAGGAAACGGAGGCAGAGGAAAGCUAUUGAUUUUUUUGCAUAAUCAGAGAGCAAAGAAUGAAAGAAUUGGAUACACAGAACUUUUAUCUUCCAUUCCCUAAACAAUGCAUCCAUUUUAUCUUUAAAACAGAGCUUAAAUGCUUUUCAAUUAAAUGGGAUUUUUCUAAAUAGACUUACCAAUCCAUCUUCCCCCGGUCCUGGGAAAGUUACAGCAAGAUUCCGUCCGUUCUCAUCAAAAGCUUUUAUUUCGAUGCCUAAAUUGGAUUCAGGCUGUUUGAGCCAAUUUUGCAAC